UCUGCUAGACGACGCUGGCGGCGUGCCUAAUACAUGCAAGUCGAACGAACUCUGGUAUUGAUUGGUGCUUGCAUCAUGAUUUACAUUUGAGUGAGUGGCGAACUGGUGAGUAACACGUGGGAAACCUGCCCAGAAGCGGGGGAUAACACCUGGAAACAGAUGCUAAUACCGCAUAACAACUUGGACCGCAUGGUCCGAGCUUGAAAGAUGGCUUCGGCUAUCACUUUUGGAUGGUCCCGCGGCGUAUUAGCUAGAUGGUGGGGUAACGGCUCACCAUGGCAAUGAUACGUAGCCGACCUGAGAGGGUAAUCGGCCACAUUGGGACUGAGACACGGCCCAAACUCCUACGGGAGGCAGCAGUAGGGAAUCUUCCACAAUGGACGAAAGUCUGAUGGAGCAACGCCGCGUGAGUGAAGAAGGGUUUCGGCUCGUAAAACUCUGUUGUUAAAGAAGAACAUAUCUGAGAGUAACUGUUCAGGGUAUUGACGGGUAUUUAAACCAGAAAGCCACGGCUAAACUACGUGCCAGCAGCCCGCGGGUAAUACGUAGGUGGCAAGCGUUGUCCGGGAUUUAUUGGGCGUAAAGCGAGCGCAGGCGGUUUUUUAAGUCUGAUGUGAAAGCCUUUCGGCUCAACCGAAGAAGUGCAUCGGAAACUGGGAAACUUGAGUGCAGAAGAGGACAGUGGAACUCCAUGUGUAGCGGUGAAAUGCGUAGAUAUAUGGAAGAACACCAGUGGCGAAGGCGGCUGUCUGGUCUGUAACUGACGCUGAGGCUCGAAAGUAUGGGUAGCAAACAGGAUUAGAUACCCUGGUAGUCCAUACCGUAAACGAUGAAUGCUAAGUGUUGGAGGGUUUCCGCCCUUCAGUGCUGCAGCUAACGCAUUAAGCAUUCCGCCUGGGGAGUACGGCCGCAAGGCUGAAACUCAAAGGAAUUGACGGGGGCCCGCACAAGCGGUGGAGCAUGUGGUUUAAUUCGAAGCUACGCGAAGAACCUUACCAGGUCUUGACAUACUAUGCAAAUCUAAGAGAUUAGACGUUCCCUUCGGGGACAUGGAUACAGGUGGUGCAUGGUUGUCGUCAGCUCGUGUCGUGAGAUGUUGGGUUAAGUCCCGCAACGAGCGCAACCCUUAUUAUCAGUUGCCAGCAUUAAGUUGGGCACUCUGGUGAGACUGCCGGUGACAAACCGGAGGAAGGUGGGGAUGACGUCAAAUCAUCAUGCCCCUUAUGACCUGGGCUACACACGUGCUACAAUGGAUGGUACAACGAGUUGCGAACUCGCGAGAGUAAGCUAAUCUCUUAAAGCCAUUCUCAGUUCGGAUUGUAGGCUGCAACUCGCCUACAUGAAGUCGGAAUCGCUAGUAAUCGCGGAUCAGCAUGCCGCGGUGAAUACGUUCCCGGGCCUUGUACACACCGCCCGUCACACCAUGAGAGUUUGUAACACCCAAAGUCGGUGGGGUAACCUUUUAGGAACCAGCCGCCUAAGGUGGGACAGAUGAUUAGGGGAAGUCGAA
rnacentral:rRNA from 2 species